AGAGUUUGAUCAUGGCUCAGAUUGAACGCUGGCGGAAUGCUUUACACAUGCAAGUCGAACGGUAGAGGGGGCAACCCCUUGAGAGUGGCGAACGGGUGAGUAAUAUAUCGGAACGUGCCCAGUCGUGGGGGAUAACGUAGCGAAAGUUACGCUAAUACCGCAUACGAUCUAAGGAUGAAAGCGGGGGAUCGCAAGACCUCGCGCGAUUGGAGCGGCCGAUAUCAGAUUAGGUAGUUGGUGGGGUAAAGGCUCACCAAGCCAACGAUCUGUAGCUGGUCUGAGAGGACGACCAGCCACACUGGAACUGAGACACGGUCCAGACUCCUACGGGAGGCAGCAGUGGGGAAUUUUGGACAAUGGACGCAAGUCUGAUCCAGCCAUUCCGCGUGCAGGAUGAAGGCCCUCGGGUUGUAAACUGCUUUUGUACGGAACGAAAAGGUCUCUAUUAAUACUGGGGGCUCAUGACGGUACCGUAAGAAUAAGCACCGGCUAACUACGUGCCAGCAGCCGCGGUAAUACGUAGGGUGCAAGCGUUAAUCGGAAUUACUGGGCGUAAAGCGUGCGCAGGCGGUUAUGUAAGACAGAGGUGAAAUCCCCGGGCUCAACCUGGGAACUGCCUUUGUGACUGCAUAGCUAGAGUACGGUAGAGGGGGAUGGAAUUCCGCGUGUAGCAGUGAAAUGCGUAGAUAUGCGGAGGAACACCGAUGGCGAAGGCAAUCCCCUGGACGUGUACUGACGCUCAUGCACGAAAGCGUGGGGAGCAAACAGGAUUAGAUACCCUGGUAGUCCACGCCCUAAACGAUGUCAACUGGUUGUUGGGUCUUCACUGACUCAGUAACGAAGCUAACGCGUGAAGUUGACCGCCUGGGGAGUACG
rnacentral:rRNA from 1 species